GAGGGUGUGGCUCAGCGGUAGAGCCCAUGCUUAGCGUGCACAAGGUCCUGCGUUCAAUCCCCAGCACCUCCA
rnacentral:tRNA from 1 species